rnacentral:rRNA from 1 species
GAAUGCUGACAUAAGUAACGAUAAAGCGGGUGAAAAGCCCGCUCGCCGGAAGACCAAGGGUUCCUGUCCAACGUUAAUCGGGGCAGGGUGAGUCGACCCCUAAGGCGAGGCCGAAAGGCGUAGUCGAUGGGAAACAGGUUAAUAUUCCUGUACUUGGUGUUACUGCGAAGGGGGGACGGAGAAGGCUAUGUUGGCCGGGCGACGGUUGUCCCGGUUUAAGCGUGUAGGCUGGUUUUCCAGGCAAAUCCGGAAAAUCAAGGCUGAGGCGUGAUGACGAGGCACUACGGUGCUGAAGCAACAAAUGCCCUGCUUCCAGGAAAAGCCUCUAAGCAUCAGGUAACAUCAAAUCGUACCCCAAACCGACACAGGUGGUCAGGUAGAGAAUACCAAGGCGCUUGAGAGAACUCGGGUGAAGGAACUAGGCAAAAUGGUGCCGUAACUUCGGGAGAAGGCACGCUGAUAUGUAGGUGAAGCGACUUGCUCGUGGAGCUGAAAUCAGUCGAAGAUACCAGCUGGCUGCAACUGUUUAU